rnacentral:rRNA from 1 species
AUUGAACGCUGGCGGCAGGCCUAACACAUGCAAGUCGAGCGAGCGGCGGACGGGUGAGUAAUGUAUGGGGACUGCCCGAUAGAGGGGGAUAACUACUGGAAACGGUAGCUAAUACCACAUACUAUCGGAUACCCCAUAUGGGAUUAGCUAGUAGGUGAGGUAAUGGCUCACCAAGGCAACGAUCCGUAGCUGGUUUGAGAGGACGACCAGCCACACGGGGACUGAGACACGGCCCAGACUCCUACGGAGGCAGCAGUGGGGAAUUGUGGACAAUGGGGGAAACCCUGAUCCAGCAAUCCAGCGUGUAUGAUGAAGGCCUUCGGGUUGUAAAGUACUGUUGGCAGAGAAGCGGUAUCUGCAGAAUAAGCACCGGCUAACUCCGUGCCAGCAGCCGCGGUAAUUC